rnacentral:rRNA from 1 species
UACGGGGGGGGCAAGCGUUGUUCGGAAUUACUGGGCGUAAAGCGCGUGUAGGCGGUUGGUUAAGUCAGAUGUGAAAGCCCCGGGCUCAACCUGGGAACGGCAUUUGAUACUGGCUGACUAGAAUGUGGUAGAGGGGGGCGGAAUUCCCGGUGUAGCGGUGAAAUGCGUAGAGAUCGGGAAGAACACCAAUGGCGAAGGCAGCCUCCUGGGCCAACAUUGACGCUGAGACGCGAAAGCGUGGGGAGCAAACAGG